UCGUACUACGGUCGAGAGGCUGUGCCAAUAUGGUUAAAAACAAUAAAUGAAUGGAGUAGAGUCUCUGAGCAGUUGUGCGGAAAUAAAUGCCGAGAUAAGCUCGGCGGCGGCCAGACAACCGUUGAGAUGGAUCCAUAUAUCAGCGCCGCUGUUUCUAUGGUGCUUGUCUACUAAAUCCAUAUCAAAGUC